CACUAUGCCUAGCCGUAAACAUCGACAGUAAACUACACCCACUGUCCGCCUGGGAACUACGAGCACCAGCUUAAAACCCAAAGGACUUGGCGGUGCUUUAGACCCACCUAGAGGAGCCUGUCCUAGAACCGAUAAUCCCCGUUAAACCUCACCCUUCCUUGUUCUUUUCAGCCUAUAUACCACCGUCGUCAGCUCACCCUGUGAAGGCCCAAUAGUAAGCGUAAUCGGCAUAGCCCCAAACGUCAGGUCGAGGUGUAGCCUAUGGAAGGGGAAGAGAUGGGCUACAUUCACUGAUACAGUGAAUACGGAUGAUCACCCUGAAACGGGUAUCUGAAGGAGGAUUUAGCAGUAAGCAAAAAAUAGAGUGUUUUGCUGAAGUUGGCCCUGAAGCGUGCACACACCGCCCGUCACUCUCCCCGAACAUUAGCCCGGAUAUAUAACUAAUACCCCACAAAAACCGAGGGGAGGCAAGUCGUAA
rnacentral:rRNA from 1 species